UACGAAGGGGGCUAGGCGUUGCUCGGAAUCACUGGGCGUAAAGCGCACGUAGGCGGGUCGUUAAGUCAGGGGUGAAAUCCUGGAGGCUCAAACUCCAGAACUGCCCCUUGAUACUGGCGAUCUCGAGUUCGGGAGAUGGGUGAGUGGAACUGCGAAGUGUAGAGGUGAAAUUCGUAGAUAUUCGCAAGAACACCAGUGGCGAAGGCGGCUUACUGGUCCGGUUCUGACGCUGAGGCGCGAAAGCGUGGGGGAGCAAACAGG
rnacentral:rRNA from 1 species